rnacentral:rRNA from 1 species
GGGGGGGGGGGGGGGGGGGGCGGGGGGGGGCGGGGGGGGGGGGGGGGUCGGGGGGAGGGGCGCAGGGGUGCGGAACGGGUGGGGGCCUGCCCUGAGGUUCGGAAUAACGCCCCGAAAGGGGUUCUAAUACCGGAUAAUGUCUUCGGACCAACGAUUUAUCGCGUUGGGAGGGGCCCGCUGUGGAUUAGCUAGUUGGUCGGGUAAAAGCCUACCAAGGCGACGAGCCAUAGCUGGUCUGAGAGGAUGAUCAGCCACACUGGGACUGAGACACGGCCCCGAUUCGUACGGGAGGCAGCAGUGGGGAAUAUUGGACAAUGGGCGAAAGCAUGAUCCAGCAAUGCCGCGUGAGUGAUGAAGGCCUUAGGGUUGGAAAGCUAUUUUACCCGGGAGGAUAAUGACAGUACCGGGAGAAUAAGCGCCGGCUAACUCCGUG